CCUGGGGCUCCCCCCCGGCCGCGCUGCCCUUUUCCCGGCUGGCUCGGGGAGAUGCGAUGUGACACGGCGGAGAGGGGGAGCGCGGGGGGCCGCCGGCGUGGCGUGGGGCCGGGCUGGUGGGCUGUAGGCCGGGCUGCACAGAGCAGCACACACACACACACACACACACGCACAAGAGCACCACACCUGCUGAGCACAGACACACAUCAACACAUGGCCUCGAACACAAACACUUCCCCUUUUUGUGCCAAAGGCCAGGGUGGCACUCAGCUCUGCUGGCUCCACGCGGGCGCAGACAGGCGCCAACAGAGCUCGUACCUAUACCGUUCCGCAAAGAGCCUGGUCUCGAAGUUCUCCUUUUCUCAUCGCAGGGCCGGCUGCUGUCUUUCUGCGGAGCGGUGGGGUGGACGACCCUACUGACAUCCGGGCCACACAGGUCAUGGUGUCGCCACACUACAGUGAAGGGAAGAAGAAUGUCAACACAGAGCAGCCUGAUGAAUCAUGGGAAAAAUCCCAGAAUGCUGGGAAGACAGCAGUGAGGUUUAGAAAGCAAGUCUUAUUUCCGUCGCUCUCGUCUGUUCCAGUUCAGGGGGGAAACCGCAGGAGUUGUUCGCGGAAGGUGAGAGCGAUUUGUCUGACCAGGCCCGUCCAGUUGGAUGGCGUGCUGCUCCUCCAGAUUUUGCAGGGGCUGAAGGGGUUAAAUCCGUCUGCUGCUCACAUCUGGGAGUCAUUUGAAACAUUCCGAAAGGCUUACCACAUGUUUUCAGAUGGAUUAAACCCCGCGAAUCAGUUCUGCUGUCAAAAUCCUGAAAAAUGUUCGUGUUUUUUGUAAAGUAAAUGAAACGGUAUAAUGGUCUUUUUUUUUUCUUCCAGGGGAGGGCGUGUGUGUUGGGAAGUGUGUGUGUGUUGGUUGGUUGUGCGUCUGUGUGUGUGUUUGCGGUGGAUUUCACAGAGCUGAAUGUGUAGUUAAUUCCCCGACCGGUGAUGUAGGUUUCUCUGGAAUAAACUCCUUCUUCGGUGUGCGAUCCCAGGACCGUGAUAAGAAUUCCCAGCCCGUGAUAAGAUCUCAUCUGCCAACGUUUUCUCUUGUUUCUGUGUUGUAGCGUCAUCCAAGU
rnacentral:lncRNA from 1 species